rnacentral:misc_RNA from 1 species
GAAAUAAACUACAAUUCACACGAAGAGGCUGUAAAGUUGAACCAAAUUAGCUCAAAAACAGAGAAGCACAUGUCCAUAAAAAUUAGCAAACCGAGAUUAAAUAAUCUGCAGCAAAGAUAUAAAAGUAAUCUCAACAAUGAAAUUACAGGCUUGCUCAAUAUAAAAUGGAAACAACUAAAAAUGCAAAAACACACUCUAAGAAAAAGAGAAAAGCUAGAAUGGAUUAAAUGCAGCAAAAUACAUUCCAUUCAAUUGCAAUAUCCAAAAAUAAUGAUCUGCAAUCAUUAACCAAAGCUAUGCAUAUAAACAUUCACAAAUCCAUUCACAACUGAAAAACCAAUAACUAAAAUUGUUCUAGAAACUAAGAAACAAUAGUUCAUACACAAAUAGAAUAAGAAAAGCCUAAAAAUUAUGGACUUGCAGCAGUUUGGUUUCCUAGUUGGCUGGGGCCUGCUGCAGCUUGCUCAAAGGCUUCAGAGGUAGUCUCCAAGUUAUCAAACAGCUCCUUGAGGUCCCUAAAUUGCUAUGCCAUCCAAUUAACACCAUUUUUGUAGGUCUUUUCAAGUCUCUCUGUCUGCACAAAAAGCAAUUUUAUCUCCAACUUUUGCGUCUUCUUCAGAGCCUUCAACUUCUUCAUCUUUGCUUCAUGUUUCUACUGUUUUGCUCCAAAUUCAUCCAGUUUAGCAUCCAUGGACUUCAAGACUGUCAGAAUAUCAUUAAAAGAUUGCUAGCUAUGCUUUGCAGACUUAGUGUGCUAUGAUCUCUCUUCCAAAGCUGCAAUUUGGGCUUCAAUGUUUUUCAGGGUGGAAAGAAUGGUGGCAAUAGAGGCUGCUAGUUGCUAUGAAUUACCAGCAUAUUGGUGUUCUAUCUGAGAUUCAUAAGGCUGGAAUGUAUCUGUCUCUAGUCUACGGUUGCUGUCAAGGUUAGCAAGGAUAAAGGUAGACCCUUUCUUCUUAAGAAUGCCCAUAUUAAACAAAAUUACCUUAUCAAUAUAAGAAUUUCCUGAAACUGACUGUAAUUUAUGUUCCUUAGGAGAAAAAUCAAAGGCUUUUGCAAUUGCAGUGAUAAGGCCCCUAAAUACUAUGCUACCUGACCUAGCCUCCGAGACAGAUUGUUCAAAACGUGAACAUAAGAUAUAUACUCCAUUCACUUUCUUCCCAUUUUUCAUGCACCAUAGCAAAAAAUAAGUCAUUUACUCUAACUACCCCAUUAAUGUGGCCUCUACCUAAAAUGGUAUAUGAGAAAAACCUAUGUAACAGUCUCAAGGCAGGGUCCAUAAUUUUAGAAGCUUUAGAGGCACUAGGGUUAUAGUAAUCUCCAUAUGGGGCAAUUAAUUUCCAAAACCCAAAUUUAUAAUAAAAAGCUCUUUCCUAUUCUACUUGAAAGCAACCCUCGUUACGAAACCCAAAUAUGGCAUUCAUAGUAGUCAUGUCAAGCUCUCUCUCAACUCCCAUACAUCUAAACUUAAUGCAAUCAGUAGGGGCUAUUUUGCUAGGCUGAAAAUUAACAUGUAAAGAAUUAAGAAACUCGAAAGUAAUCUUAGCAUAGAUAGGUUCCCUAGUACUAGCAAACUCAGUCCAACAUAGGGCAUCUAGACAUGCAUAAAAAGGUUCAUAAAACCUAAUUUCUCUUAACGACUCAUCAUCUAGGUACUUAGUGCUAACAAUGCUCAUAGAGGUAAAUUUUUCAUAAUUUUUCUUCAUUUGUAAAUUUCCAUAACCCUAAGGUAAAUCAAAUUAUACCUCCUCCAUGUCAUCAGUACCAAUAGAUGGUUGUAAGCUAGGUGGAAUAGACCUUGCUGGAGCAGCCCUAUGUGUAGGAGCUUUGGUUCUAGAUUUUACAACUGGAGGUAGAGGACUGGUCUCCCUAGAAGAAGCAGCCGAUGCUCUAGAAUGAGAAACUGGGGUUCGAGGAGAACCUAAUGGUCUAGUAGCAGAGGACCUAGUCCUUUUACUACCAAGUUCUACACAAGAAACCCUAGGUUUCUUUGACUUAGCAAUAAGGGGUGAAACAGGGGUUUUGUGCUUGCUAGAGGAAGAAGAAGGUGUUUUUGAUUUGGCAUAGGGGUUCACUUUCUUCUUUGCCACUGACUUAAAAAAAGGUUUUGUAAACCAAGGUUAUAGUGGGUGGAGAAAGAAUUGGGAGGUUCAAUGUUAGGGUUCGAGUCUUAUUAUGGCUCAGUGGUUUGCUGUAGAGGGAUUAUUGGGCUCUUUGGUGAAUGAGGUGUUGAGGAUGCUUGAGAAGUUUGUGAAUUAGGAGUAGCUUCAACAAAAUUUGGUGGGGAUGGAGAGCGAGAAGUAUUUUCUGCCAUUGAAGUUUGCUUGCGACGAGAAGGGGGAAUAGGGAUUCGGACCGAACAAUGUUUGAUUUUGACCAUUCAAGAAAAGAAAAUGGGAAAAGGAGAGUGUUAUGGCAUCGUGAAAUUAAAGGAAAAAUGUAUCAGUUUGUGUUGGAGUCGAGAAAAAAGAGAAGUAGAAG